rnacentral:misc_RNA from 1 species
CCACCUAGCUGCCUACUACCAAGAUCACUUCAUCAUUACCACAUCAUUACCAAACACUUUGCUAGAUAAGCUACAGCAGCCUAGAGAAUCAGAAAAAAGGUUAACAUAUUGUAUAGACGAGAACAUUGAGAAACACUAAACAGGUCCAUAAAUUUGAUAAAAUGGAAUCCCUUCCAUUGAACCAGAAAAACCCACUUGAAGUUUGUUGCUCAGCCAUUAUCCGCCACUACUAGAAAUCUCCAAGACGGGAGUUAAAAGCAGUCAUUACUAGUGCUCAUCAUCACCAGCAGCUUUGGCCUCCUCGCCCUUGAAACCAUCAUCGCCUCCAUCCUCCGGUAAGUCAGAAGUCCAAAGAGUGAGAUU